AGUCAUAUGCUUGUCUCAAAGACUAAGCCAUGUAUGUCUAAGUAUAAAUGGUAUACAGUGAAACUGCGAAUGGCUCAUUAAAACAGUUAUAGUUUAUUUGGUAAUCGAAUUUACAUGGAUAACCGUGGUAAUUCUAGAGCUAAUACAUGCUGUAAAGCCCGACUUUUCGGAAGGGCCGUAUUUAUUAGAUAACAGACUAAUAUUCCUCGUGUCUAUUGUGGUGAAUCAUAGUAACUAAUCGGAUCGCAUGGGCUAGUCCCGCGACAAACCAUUCAAGUUUCUGCCCCAUCAGCUUUCGAUGGUAGUGUAUUGGACUACCAUGGCUUUUACGGGUAACGGAGGAUUAGGGUUCGAUUCCGGAGAGGGAGCCUGAGAAACGGCUACCACAUCUAAGGAAGGCAGCAGGCGCGUAAAUUACCCAAUUCUAAUUCAGAGAGGUAGUGACAAGAAAUAACGGGUCGGGGCUAUGCCCCGGGACUGCAAUGAGAUGAAUUUACACCCCUUUUCGAGUAACAAU
rnacentral:rRNA from 1 species